rnacentral:rRNA from 3 species
UGAAAUCUGGCUCUCGGGCCCGAGUUGUAAUUUGUAGAGGAUACUUUUGAUGCGGUGCCUUCCGAGUUCCCUGGAACGGGACGCCAUAGAGGGUGAGAGCCCCGUCUGGUUGGAUGCCAAAUCUCUGUAAAGUUCCUUCAACGAGUCGAGUAGUUUGGGAAUGCUGCUCUAAAUGGGAGGUAUAUGUCUUCUAAAGCUAAAUACCGGCCAGAGACCGAUAGCGCACAAGUAGAGUGAUCGAAAGAUGAAAAGCACUUUGAAAAGAGAGUUAAAAAGUACGUGAAAUUGUUGAAAGGGAAGCGUUUAUGACCAGACUUGGGCUUGGUUAAUCAUCUGGGGUUCUCCCCAGUGCACUUUUCCAGUCCAGGCCAGCAUCAGUUUUCCCCGGGGGAUAAAGGCGGCGGGAAUGUGGCUCUCUUCGGGGAGUGUUAUAGCCCACCGUGUAAUACCCUGGGGGGGACUGAGGUUCGCGCAUCUGCAAGGAU